AUUGAACGCUGGCGGCAGGCCUAACACAUGCAAGUCGAGCGGAGCGGCGGACGGGUGCUUCAUGCCUAGGAAUCUGCCUGUUAGUGGGUGAUAACGUCCGGAAACGGGCGCUAAUACCGCAUACUCUCAGAUGAGCCUAGGUCGUAUUAGCUAGUUGGUGGGGUAAAGGCCUACCAAGGCGACGAUCCGUAGCUGGUCUGAGAGGAUGAUCAGUCACACUGGAAAUGAGACACGGUCCAGACUCCUACGGGAGGCAGCAGUGGGGAAUAUUGGACAAUGGGCGAAAGCCUGAUCUAGCCACGCCGCGUGUGUGAAGAAGGUCUUCGGAUUGUAAAGCACUUUAAGUUGGGAGGCGUUACCAACAGAAGAAGAACCGGCUAACUACGUGCCAGCAGCCGCGGUAAUUC
rnacentral:rRNA from 1 species